UACAGAGGGUGCGAGCGUUAAUCGGAAUUAUUGGGCGUAAAGGGCUCGUAGGCGGUUCAACAAGUCGGUCGUGAAAGCCCGGGGCUCAACUCCGGGAUGCCGGUCGAAACUGUGGUGACUUGAGUUCGGUAGAGGUGAGUGGAAUUCUCAGUGUAGCGGUGGAAUGCGCAGAUAUUGAGAGGAACACCAUUAGCGAAGGCGGCUCACUGGGCCGAUACUGACGCUGAGGAGCGAAAGCGUGGGGAGCAAACAGG
rnacentral:misc_RNA from 1 species